rnacentral:rRNA from 1 species
CUACGGGUGGCACCAGUGGGGAAUAUUGCACAAUGGGCGCAAGCCUGAUGCAGCAACGCCGCGUGAACGAAGAAGGUCUUCGGAUCGUAAAGUUCUUUUCUUAGGGAAGAAAAAUGACGGUACCUAAGGAAUAAGCACCGGCUAAAUACGUGCCAGCAGCCGCGGUAAUACGUAUGGUGCAAGCGUUAUCCGGAAUCACUGGGCGUAAAGGGAGCGUAGGGGGUUUUGCAAGUCAGAAGUGAAAGGCUACGGCUCAACCGUGGUAAGCUUUUGAAACUGCAGGACUAGAGUGCAGGAGAGGCAAGUGGAAUUCCUAGUGUAGAGGUGAAAUUCGUAGAUAUUAGGAGGAACACCAGUGGCGAAGGCGACUUGCUGGACUGUAACUGACGCUGAGGCUCGAAAGCGUGGGGAGCGAACAGGAUUAGAUACCCCAGUAGUC